CCUGUCUCUAGAAGCAUUACAGGUAUGUCUUCUGUGUCACAUAUGCAUCAGUAGGUGGGACAGAGGAGACAGGCUAUGCCUACACCCUGCUUUUACCCAUGAGAAUCUGAAUGACUAGUCGCUUAACAUU